CCUACGGGAGGCUGCAGUGGGGAAUAUUGGACAAUGGGGGGAACCCUGAUCCAGCCAUGCCGCGUGUGUGAAGAAGGCCCUCGGGUUGUAAAGCACUUUCAGUGAGGAAGAACGCCUGGUGGUUAAUACCCAUCAGGAAAGACAUCACUCACAGAAGAAGCACCGGCUAACUCCGUGCCAGCAGCCGCGGUAAUACGGAGGGUGCGAGCGUUAAUCGGAAUUACUGGGCGUAAAGCGCGCGUAGGUGGCUUGAUAAGCCGGUUGUGAAAGCCCCGGGCUCAACCUGGGAACGGCAUCCGGAACUGUCAAGCUAGAGUGCAGGGAGGAAGGUAGAAUUCCCGGUGUAGCGGUGAAAUGCGUAGAGAUCGGGAGGAAUACCAGUGGCGAAGGCGGCCUUCUGGACUGACACUGACACUGAGGUGCGAAAGCGUGGGUAGCAAACAGGAUUAGAUACCCCAGUAGUC
rnacentral:rRNA from 1 species